rnacentral:miRNA from 1 species
UAUUUGGUGGUAUCUUUCUGAUAUUAGAAAGUAGUUUCAGGAUGGAGAGAUGGCUCAGCUGUUAAAUGCUAGGCUCAUAACCAAAAAUAU